GACGAACGCUGGCGGCGUGCUUAACACAUGCAAGUCGAACGGAAAGGCUCCAGCUUGCUGGCGUACUCGAGUGGCGAACGGGUGAGUAACACGUGGGUAAUCUGCCCUGCACUAUGGGAUAAGCCUGGGAAACUGGGUCUAAUACUGGAUAUGACCUUUCUCCUUAUGGGGUUUGUUGGAAAGUUUUUCGGUGUAGGAUGAGCCCGCGGCCUAUCAGCUUGUUGGUGGGGUGAUGGCCUACCAAGGCGACGACGGGUAGCCGGCCUGAGAGGGUGAUCGGCCACAUUGGGACUGAGAUACGGCCCAGACUCCUACGGGAGGCAGCAGUGGGGAAUAUUGCACAAUGGGCGGAAGCCUGAUGCAGCGACGCCGCGUGCGGGAUGACGGCCUUCGGGUUGUAAACCGCUUUCAGCAGGGACGAAGCGUAAGUGACGGUACCUGCAGAAGAAGCACCGGCUAACUAUGUG
rnacentral:rRNA from 1 species